CUCAGUGACUCCUACGGGAGGCAGCAGUGGGGAAUAUUGCACAAUGGGCGCAAGCCUGAUGCAGCAACGCCGUGUGAGUGAAGAAGGUUUUCGGAUCGUAAAACUCUGUCCUAAGGGAAGAAACAAAUGACGGUACCUUAGGAGGAAGCCCCGGCUAACUACGUGCCAGCAGCCGCGGUAAUACGUAGGGGGCAAGCGUUAUCCGGAAUCACUGGGCGUAAAGGGUGCGUAGGCGGCUUAGCAAGCCAGGGGUGAAAGGCAUUGGCUCAACCAAUGUAAGCCUUUGGAACUGUUAGGCUUGAGUGCAGGAGAGGUAAGUGGAAUUCCUAGUGUAGAGGUGAAAUUCGUAGAUAUUAGGAGGAACACCAGUGGCGAAGGCGACUUACUGGACUGUAACUGACGCUGAUGCACGAAAGCGUGGGUAGCGAACAGGAUUAGAUACCCUGGUAG
rnacentral:rRNA from 1 species